UACGAAGGGGGCUAGCGUUGCUCGGAAUUACUGGGCGUAAAGCGCACGUAGGCGGCUUCUUAAGUCGGUGGUGAAAUCCUGGAGCUCAACUCCAGAACUGCCUUCGAUACUGGGAGCUCGAGUCCGGGAGAGGUGAGUGGAACUGCGAGUGUAGAGGUGAAAUUCGUAGAAUAUUCGCAAGAACACCAGUGGCGAAGGCGGACUCACUGGCCCGGUACUGGACGCUGAGGUGCGAA
rnacentral:rRNA from 1 species